CGUAGGGAGCAAGCGUUGUCCGGAAUCAUUGGGCGUAAAGCGCGCGUAGGCGGCCUCAUAAGUCCGUUGUGAAAGUCAAAGGCUCAACCUUUGAAAGCCGAUGGAUACUGUGAGGCUAGAGUCCGGAAGAGGCGAGUGGAAUUCCUGGUGUAGCGGUGGAAUGCGCAGAUAUCAGGAGGAACACCAAUAGCGAAGGCAGCUCGCUGGGACGGUACUGACGCUAAGGCGCGAAAGCGUGGGGAGCGAACAGGAUUAGAUACCCUGGUAGUCCACGCCGUAAACGAUGGGCACUAGGUGUGGGAGGUGUCGACUCCUCCCGUGCCGUCGCUAACGCACUAAGUGCCCCGCCUGGGGAGUACGGCCGCAAGGCUA
rnacentral:rRNA from 1 species